rnacentral:tRNA from 1 species
GAUCGCGUAGCUCAGUCGGUAGAGCACUACCUUGACAUGGUAGGGGUCGUUGGUUCGAGUCCAAUCGUGAUCACCA